rnacentral:rRNA from 1 species
AACUCCAAGUCAGCGAAGGCAGGUCACUGGGCGUCCUGACGCUGAGGCGCGAGCGUGGGUAGCAAACAGGAUUAGAUACCCUGGUAGUCCACGCCCUAAACGAUGGAUACUAGACGUAAGAGGUAUCGACCCCUCUUGUGUCGCAGCUAACGCAUUAAGUAUGCCUCAUGGGGAGUACGGCAGCAAGGUUGAAACUCAAAUGAAUUGACGGGGACCCGCACAAGCGGUGGAGCAUGUGGAUUAAUUCGAGACUACGCGAAGAACCUUACCCAGGUUUGACAUCGAUGGUAAGCCCGAUAGAUCGGGCCCUCUCUCACAAGGAGACCUGAAGACUGAUGUUGCAUGGCUGUCGUCAGUUCGUGCCGUCAGGUGUACGGUUAAGUCCGCCAACGACCGCAACCCUCGUCCUAUGUAGCCAGCGAGUAAUGUCGGGAACUCAUAGGAGUCGGCCGGUGUAAGCCGGAGGACGGUGGGGAUGAUGUCAAGUCAGCAUGGCUCUUAGCCUGGGGCUUCAACAUGCUACAAUGGUCGCAACAAGGGCACCGAAGCC